ACCUAUGACCAAAUCACUCUGAAUGUGCCCUAUCUCGUUACAUCUCGAGAGCUUAGCAGAGUUCGAGUCUGGUUGGUGCUUAGAUGAGAGAGUGCUUUGGAACUCCACGUGCUUAGGCU
rnacentral:rRNA from 1 species